rnacentral:rRNA from 1 species
CAAUAGCGUAUAUUAAAGUUGUUGCGGUUAAAAAGCUCGUAGUUGGAUUUCGGGUGGGACGCAGCGGUCUCGCAUUGCGUUUGUACUGCUGCAGCCCUCCUUCUUGCCGGGGGCGGCCUCUCGGACUUCACUGUCUGGGGGUCAGAAUCGGCGAUGUUACUUUGAGUAAAUUAGAGUGUUCAAAGCAAGCUUACGCUCUGAAUAUAAUAGCAUGGGAUAACACGACAGGACUCUGGCCUAUCGUGUUGGUCUAUAGGACCAGAGUAAUGAUUAAGAGGGACAGUCGGGGGCAUUCGUAUUCCGUUGUCAGAGGUGAAAUUCUUGGAUUUACGGAAGACGAACAUCUGCGAAAGCAUUUGCCAAGGAUGUUUNCAUUGA